UCUGCAACCCGACUCCACGAAGCUGGAUUCGCUAGUAAUCGCGCAUCAGCCACGGCGCGGUGAAUACGUUCCCGGGCCUUGUACACACCGCCCGUCAAGCCAUGGGAGCCGGGGUACCUGAAGUGCGUAACCGCGAGGAUCGCCCUAGGGUAAAACUGGUGACUGGGGCUAAGUCGUAACAAGGUAGC
rnacentral:rRNA from 1 species